rnacentral:rRNA from 1 species
AGUGAACGCUGGCGGUAUGCCUAACACAUGCAAGUCGAACGGCAACACAGUAAGAGCUUGCUCUUACGGUUGGCGACUGGCGGGUGGGUGAGGAAUACAUCGCCAUCUACUUUUUCGUGGGGGAUAACGUAGGGAAACUUACGCUAAUACCGCAUACGACCUACUGGUGGGAGCAGGGGAUCUUCGUACCUUUCGCGUUUGCUUGAGCCGAUUUCGUAUUAGCUAGUUGGCUGGGUAAAGGCCCACCAAGGCGACGAUCCGUAGCUGGACUGAGAGGAUGAUCAGCCACACUGGAACUGAGACACGGUCAAGACGACUAAGGGAGGGAGCAGUGGGGAAUAUUGGACAAUGGGCGCAAGUAUGAUCCAGCGAUACCGAGUGGGUGAAGAAGGCCUUCGGUUUGUAAAGCCCGUUUGUUGGGAAAGAAAAGCAGUAGGUUAAUAACCCGCUGUUCUGACGGUACCUAAAGAAUAAGCACCGGCUAACUACGUG